GUUUAUAAUUAAUUUGUUGCUCAUAUCUAAAAGACUUCAUACUAGUAAUUUGUACAAGAAACAAAUAGUGAGAUAUAGCACUUGUUUGAGAUAUUUUACUGGUUGAGCUAUUUUACAUUUUUCUUUCUUAAUAAGCUCAUAUAAAAGAUUUAACUUUCUAAUCUUGUUUUAGCUAACUUGUGCUUGAACUCGCGGAUACCAAAUUAUUAAUUAAUUGAAUAUUAAUCAAUAGAGCCGACUUGGACAAAUUCGUAUUUCAAUUGAACAAGUUGAGCUGGAACUUGAAGAUAGCGAUAUUUAAUUUAUGGCAGACACGAGUCAUUGACUUUUCCUGUUUCAGACCAUUAAUGCAUUAUCUUCAUAGCACUUUGCCCGUUUUAUCAAAAAAAUGCUGAAACAAAGAUACAGAAGAUUUUUUUUUUUUUUUGAUAAAGUCUGAUUAGGAAAAUAGCUACGGUGGCUCAAAAGAUACAGAAGAUACCAAGUAUCGAAAGAGAAAACAUGAAAAGACAAAAAAUCAACAAAGAUGAGACAACUAAUCAAAGACAAGCACGCACGUUCGAAUUUUCAACACACUUACACAACACUCCGUUACUCAACAUUGAUAUUAUAUAACGAACGGCUUAUCCUUUGUAUGGGUUGAGGAUGGCUUGUAUGUCAAGCAAUGUUCAGAUACUCUGAAAUUAAAUGAAGGUGAAGUUAAUUGAUAAUUAUUCUCUGUACAUUUGUCGUGGAAGGAGAACCAGUUCUACGUAACUCAAGUGAACCAAUUAGAUUAAACGGCCUUGUAGGUUAGGAAUAUGCAUUUUACCCUAUAUCCAAACUGGUACCCAAAUCCGAUUUGAAAAUCCAAAUUGAAGUGGCAAAAUAUAUGAACGAAUAUUGAGUUAAUUAGAAAAGAUUAGAUAUCCGAACCCAAACGGAAAUUAAACUAGGAAAAAUUAAAUAUCUGAACCCGAACAAGUAAUAUCAGAACCUAAAUGGAUAUCCGAACAUAUGUAUAUUUAACCUUAUAUUCCUAAUUUACUUACAUCAUUUUAUUUAAAAUAUUUAUAUUAAUAUUGUACAUAGUUCAAAAAUCAUGUAAUAUGCAUAUACUUACCGACAAAGUGAUUUGUUACUCACUUAAAAUAAAUGUCGAGCUUCUUGGUUGAUGCAUUAACAAAAAGUGCAUUCAAAAUCUCAAAACAAUAACCAUAUAAGUUUUUUUCUGUUUUCAAAUUUUUAUCUUGAAACCUAUUAAUCGUUUAAUCUAUUAAAAAUUAGAAAAUUAUUUAAGUUAAUAAUAAAUUUUAAGAACAAAAAGCUUUUUUUUUAAAUCUAAAUAUUCGAACCCAACCCAAAAUAACUAUACCCGAGUUAAAAAAUAUCCUAACCCGAUCCGAUAUUUAAAAAUACUCAAACUGGUUCUAACCGCCAAUAUUAAAAUACCCUAAAACCCCCAAAUAUCUGAUCGAAUCCGAGAGGUAUCCAAACGUCUAUUUAUUCUAAUUUUAAGUCAAACACUGUCUAGAUUUAUUUGUGACCCAAAUAAUAAUAAGAAUUU